rnacentral:misc_RNA from 1 species
AUAUCCGGGCGCGAGACGGUCACACUCACAGGUCGGCAUGUUGGUGAACCUUUCUUGUUUAGCUUAGAUUUCACGUUAUUCAUGUCAACGAGAGCUGCAAACAACUUCUCUAAUUGGUAGAAUGUGGACGGACAUUGCAUUCAUUCCCAUUCAGCCGUUGGACUGAACUGGUACUGUAACACAGUAUGGAUGGUCAAUAUGAAGCAAGCUUCAUCGAAUUCCUCCAAGAGCUCUGAACUCUGUUCUGAUCAUUUUGAAGAUGCUUGCUUUGACAGGACUGGGCAAACGAUUCGUCUAAGACAGGAUGCUGUCCCAACCACAUUUAAUUUGCCGCCUCGUCAUCAGAAGAAUGCACACAAACCAGGGAAACCCUCGAAAGAAAGUCAUUUAGAUUCAGCAAGCAACCUCCCAGAUACUGCAAAGACACCUGUACCAAAGUCUUCAGCACCUUCCCUGGGACUACUACUCAAUGCCAAAAAUCUAAGAGGGGUAAAGUGGAAGAUAACAGCAACAUAUAUCUAAAUGGGAUGGAGACCAGCAGCAUGGCAGCAGGAGCUAAUGUUGGUCGUGAUGAGGCAUAUACCACCAUCAACAAUGCUGCAAUUGCAGUCACCACCACCAAGUCUGCUUCUGUCACUGCCAUCACCAUUGCCACCGCCAUUACCAAGACCACUCCUGACACAAAGCCCCCAAGUCCUCAACUGACCAGAUAUUGCAGCUGGAGAAGGAUAUACCAGGAACUUCAAAGCCAGGGCUUGCCAGUCUCCUACAAUAAGAAAAAUGCCAUGGGCCCAUCUAAUGAACUAGUAGUAGAAUAUUUGGCCACAGUUGUAGAAAUGCAGAGACUAACAUACUGCCACAGGUGAGGUUUUGUCCACAGUUCCAGAAGGACACAAAAUAGUAUCAGAAAGUCAUGCCAGAAUCAACAACUGAAGGGUUUGAAGAGCCAGAUAAAGAGCCGAGAAAUGUGAUUUUAAAGGUACUUCAAUCACAUGCACAGUAGGAGCAAAAACAG